AGUUUGUUCAAGAGCAAGCCUGGUGUAACGUUCGUUUGAUAAAAAAAAAAUUAUAUUCUAUCGUUGAGUAAUAAUUAUUAUUUUUCAUAAUGUUAUAAAUUUUUUAUAUAUUAAUUUAAUAUUAUAUGCAGUAUAUUUAUUAUUUUUUUAUAUACUGUAUAUUUGAAAUUUUUUUUGCCUCGAAAUAUUGAGUAAAUAUUUUAGAAAUGAAUAAAAAUAUUUGCUUGGUUUUUUUUUUUAAAUUUUCGUUUGAAUUGAAUUUUGAAUGGUCAAUUUUUAUUUAAUAAUUGAUAUAAGGAAAAAAUUAUAAAUGGAUUUUUUAAGUAUGGUGGUAAAAAUUUUCAAAAUUUGUGUGCAAAAAUUAAUAAUUAUGAAGAUUUAAAAUUAUAUUUGAAAAAAAAAUUAAAAACAAAUAUACAUAUUUAUUACAACAACAUUCAUGGAAAAUUUAAUUUUUUAUUUUUUCAGUUUUUCAAUAAGUAUAUCUCAUUGAAAUUAAUGACAAAAAUUAAAAUUUGAAAUUUAAUAAGAUUAAAUAAAUGGCUGUUGAUAAAUCUCGAGAUUUUAUUUCCUGUGUGUGGCCAGCCCAAAAAUAGAACGAAGGGCAAUUGAGAAAAAAAAAAAAAAAAAGUUUUAAAAAUAAAAUUUCUCAAUUAUUUUGUUGUACAAAUAAUGAUAAUUUAAAAAACCAAAAAAAUUAUAAACAUUUACUUGUACAAAAAAUUACAAAAACUGAUGAACAAAAAAAAAAAUUGUAAAUUAAAUUUGGUACAUGGAAAUUCACCAAUUUUCAAUAGAAAAAAAAAAUAGAAAAAUAAAGAAAUAAAUAAGAUAAAAAAGAAAAUGACAAAAAAAAUUAUUAAAAAUAAUGAUUUUUUGAAAAAUAAUAAUAAACAAUAAUAAAUAAUAAUAAAUAUUAUUAUUAUUAUUAAAUAUUAUGUAUGCUGCGCGAGAUUAAACGAGUCAUUCUACCCCCACUUAUGAUCUGGUAGUCGGGCAGCGUCAACACGAUGAAAGAUAUAGCCUGGUCUAGUAGAUAGAAACUCGAAGGAGAAAUGGCAGUCGCCCUUGGUUCGCAUCAAACUAUCAAAGUGUCAUGCAGUUAGAGUAAUAAAAUUUUUUUUUUCAUAUAUAAAUAAUUUAUUUUCUAUCAUCUGGAUGACCAUCAAUUAUCAAUAAUAAUCAUAAAAUAAGAAGAAAACAGAUGUCCGGAAAAAUAUCUAAGGGUGCAAAUAAAUUUAGAGAGUGAUGGCGUCACAUCUGAAAAGCGUGUUAAAAAAUUUUUAACAACGCCAAGAAUA